rnacentral:misc_RNA from 1 species
GAUGAAGAACGCAGUGAAAUGCGAUACUUGGUGUGAAUUGCAGAAUCCCGUGAACCAUCGAGUCUUUGAACGCAAGUUGCGCCCGAAGCCAUCAGGUUGAGGGCACGUCUGCCUGGGCGUCACAUAUCGUUGCCCAAUGCCUAUUGCAGUGCAAUAGGAAUUUCUAGGGCGAAUGAUGGCUUCCCGUGAGCGUUGUUGCCUCGCGGUUGGUUGAAAAUCGAGUCCUUGGUAGGGUGUGCCAUGGUAGAUGGUGGUCGAGUUAGAACGAUACCGAUCAUGUGCAUGCUCCCCAAAAUAUGGCCUCUAUGACCCACACGCGUCUUUUGACGCUCAUGACGAGACCUCAGGUCAGGCGGGGCUACCCACUGAAUUUAAGCAUAUCAAUAAGCGGAGGA